rnacentral:rRNA from 1 species
CGGGACGGGUGAGUAACGCGUGGAAAACCUGCCGUAUACUGGGGGAUAACACUUAGAAAUAGGUGCUAAUACCGCAUAAGCGCACAGCUUCGCAUGAAGUGGUGUGAAAAACUCCGGUGGUAUACGAUGGUUCCGCGUCUGAUUAGCUUGUUGGUGGGGUAAUGGCUCACCAAGGCGACGAUCAGUAGCCGGCCUGAGAGGGCGGACGGCCACACUGGGACUGAGACACGGCCCAGACUCCUACGGAAGGCAGCAG